rnacentral:rRNA from 1 species
GACGAACGCUGGCGGCGUGCUUAACACAUGCAAGUCGAGCGGAGCGGCGAACGGGUGAGUAACGCGUGAGUAACUGCCCCCCUCUCUGGGAUAACAGUUGGAAACGGCUGCUAAUACCGGAUAGCGGGGGAUGACUCGCGUCCUAUCAGCUUGUUGGUGGGGUAGUGGCCUACCAAGGCGACGCCGGGUAGCCGGCCUGAGAGGGCCACCGGCCACAUUGAGCUGAGAUACGGCCCGAACUCCUACGGGAGGCAGCAGUGGGGAAUAGUGCACAAUGGGGGAGACCCUGAUGCAGCAACGCGCGUGCGGGAUGACGGGUUUCGGGUUGUAAACCUCCUUCACGCCCGCUUGGGUAAGUGGAGAAGAAGCGCCGGCUAACUACGUGCCAGCAGCCGCGGUAAUUC